rnacentral:lncRNA from 1 species
GAAGAGGGACCAAUAGCCAAAACCAUUAUACCAAUUAAUCUAAGAAGACAUGUACAGAUGUAGGUGGGUUUCUGCAUGAUUCAUGUUCGACAGUUAGAUUAGACAUGACUAAAAUCAGAAUGAUGGCAAAUCAUGUGUUUCGAUAGAAACUUACUCGUAUAAGAUAUUUAUACUUAAUCACACUAGUUUAUAGUGAUUAAGUGAUAAAAGAAACCAAAAACGUAUAAUAAUUAAUUAUAUUUCAGUGAAAGCCAUGUUUCUGAACAAGUGUCGUGCAUCUAUCAUGAGAUGAUGUAAACAUCCAGUAAAAGUAAGAUUAACCUUGUGUUUGCUUCCCAUUUUCUAUCAUAGGUGUAAGAUCGAUGGAAAUCACUAUUCCUAUUUUCUAUUAACCUUGUGUUUGCUUCCUAUAUAUAUAUAUAUGAUUAACUGAAACUAAUCAACGUUUAACAUAAAUUUCACAAUCGAAAAUUCUCACCAAUGAUUGUCGUGGCACCUAACCUAUGUAAGGCAACAUCAAAGUUAGAGCAAACAACAAAAGUAAGGUAUAAUAUAACUGAAAUAGCAUAAAUAACGGAAUAAGACUUCCAAAAACAGAAUCUAUAAUGAUCGAUGCUCCAACAAUAAUUCCCUAAAACCUGGUAGUACAGAAUCAUGAGCUCUUAAAUUAGAUACAAUAAAAUUUCUAAAUAACACAGUACUGUCUAAAUAUGGAUAACAGUACGAAAAUAGCAUAAGGGUUAACGAGCGAUCAUGUAGCACUACUUCGAGUCUCCUCCGAUAGCUACUAGGCUCCAUCUCAAGUCUGUUACUGCCAAUGCCUGAAUAUAUGCAAAUAUAUGUAGAAGUACAGU